rnacentral:rRNA from 1 species
AUUGAACGCUGGCGGCAUGCCUCACACAUGCAAGUAGAACGGUAACGCGGGGCAACCUGGCGACGAGUGGCGAACGGGUGAGUAAUGUAUCGGAACGUGCCCAGUUGUGGGGGAUAACUGCUCGAAAGAGCAGCUAAUACAGCAUACGACCUGAGGGUGAAAGCGGGGGAUCGCAAGACCUCGCGCAAUUGGAGCGGCCGAUAGCAGAUUAGGUAGUUGGGGGGGUAAAGGCUCACCAAGCCAACGAUCUGUAGCUGGCCUGAGAGGACGACCAGCCACUGUGGGGGUGAGACACGGCCCAGACUCCUACGGGAGGCAGCAGUGGGGAAUUAUGGACAUUGGAGUCAAGUCUGAUCCAGCCAGGCCGCGUGCGGGAAAAGGGCCUUCGGGUUGUAAACCGCUUUUGUCAGGGAAGAAACGCUCUGGGUUAAUACCUCGGGGUAAUGACGGUACCUGAAGAAUAAGCACCGGCUAACUACGUGCCAGCAGCCGCCGUAA